rnacentral:rRNA from 1 species
CUGAAACAUCUAAGUACCCACAGGAAAAGAAAGAAAACUCGAUUCCUAAAGUAGUGGCGAGCGAAAUAGGAAGAGCCUAAACCAGAAGAAGUAAUUCAUCUGGGGUUAUGGACUACAUAAUUGAUUCAAGAGAUUUAGCAGAAUUGUUUGGAAAGACAGACCAAAGAUAGUGAAAGUCUAGUAUGCGAAAAAUCAAUUGACAUGGUAGUAUCCGGAGUAGUGCGAGACACGUGAAAUCUCGUAUGAAGAUUGGGGGACCACCCCCAAAGGCUAAAUACUACUUGGUGACCGAUAGUGAAGCAGUACCGUGAGGGAAAGGUGAAAAGAACCCCGGGAGGGGAGUGAAAAAGAACCUGAAACCCUAUGUUUACAAGCAGAUAGAGCACGUUAAGGUGCGAUAUCGUACUUUUUGUAGAACGGUCCGGCGAGUUAUUUUAUAUGGCAAGAUUAAGUACUUAAGGUACGAAGUCGAAGAGAAAUCGAGUCUGAAAAGGGCGAAAAAGUCAUAUGAAAUAGACCCGAAACCGAGUGACCUAUCCAUGGUCAGGAUGAAGCUUGAGUAAAAUCAAGUGGAGGUCCGAACUCAUAAGCGUUAAAAAGCUUCGGGAUGAACUGUGGAUAGCGGAGAAAUUCCAAUCGAACUCGGAGAUAGCUGGUUCUCCUCGAAAUAGUUUUAGGACUAGCCUUGUUUCGUAGCAUUUGGGGGUAGAGCACUGAAUGAGGUAGGGGCCAACACGGUUACUGAACUCUAUCAAACUACGAAUACCAAGUGUGUAAGAACAAGAGUCAGACUGCGGGAGCUAAGUUCCGUGGUCAAAAGGGAAAGAGCCCAGAUCGUCAAUUAAGGUCCCAAAGAUAUAGUUAAGUGGAAAACGAUGUGAUUUUGCGUAAACAACCAGGAUGUUGGCUUAGAAGCAGCCAUUCAUUUAAAGAGUGCGUAAUAGCUCACUGGUCGAGUGAAGUUGCGCGGAAAAUUACCGGGGCUAAACUAUACACCGAAAUUGCGGAUUUGCAUAGAAAUAUGUAAGUGGUAGAGGAGCAUUCUAUAGUAGGACGAAGCAUAAUCGAAAGGAUAUGUGGACGAGAUAGAAGAGAGAAUGCCGGAAUAAGUAGCGAAAGCAUGGUGAGAAUCCAUGCCAUCGAAAGUCUAAGGUUUCCUGGGGAAGGUUCGUCCGCCCAGGGUAAGUCGGGACCUAAGGUGAGGCCGAAAGGCGUAGCCGAUGGACAGCAGGUAGAAAUUCCUGCACUACCGAAAUACUUAAAAGAUGCAAGGGACACAGGAGUGGAAGGAAAGCGAGGAAGAGGAAAGACUCGUAUCGAAAGAUAUAGUGAAAAUUAAAGUAACGAAUUUCCAAGAAGCACACUGGCGAGAAAAGCUUGUAGAUAUUGUAUAGAGGUACCCGUACCGCAAACCGACACAGGUAGAUGAGGAGAGGAUCCUAAGAUGAGCGAGAGAAGCAUUGUUAAGGAACUCGGCAAACCAACCCCGUAACUUAGGGAGAAGGGGUGCCUAUGUAAAAAUAGGCCGCAGAGAAGAGGCCCAAGCAACUGUUUAACAAAAACACAGGUUUCUGCUAAAUCGAAAGAUGAAGUAUAGGAGCUGACGCCUGCCCAGUGCUGGAAGGUUAAGGGAAAAUGUAAGUACAGAAGUAUGAAGCAUAGAACCAAAGCCCCAGUGAACGGCGGCCGUAACUAUAACGGUCCUAAGGUAGCGAAAUUCCUUGUCAGGUAAGUUCUGACCCG